rnacentral:rRNA from 1 species
CCCUUAGAUGUUCUGGGCCGCACGCGCGCUACACUGAUGCAUGCAACAAGUCUUUUCCUUGGCCGAGAGGCCUGGGCAAUCUUUGAAUAUGCGUCGUGAUGGGGAUAGACGAUUGCAAUUAUUCGUCUUCAACGAGGAAUUCCUAGUAAACGCAAGUCAUCAGCUUGCAUUGAUUACGUCCCUGCCCUUUGUACACACCGCCCGUCGCACCUACCGAUUGAAUGGUCCGGUGAAGGCUUCGGAGGCGGCUUUCUCAAUGUUUAUUCGGCGAGACUGCUGCCAAAGUUGAAUGAACCUUACCAUUUAGAGGAAGGUGAAGUCGUAACA